rnacentral:rRNA from 1 species
AUCCUCCAAGGCUAAAUACUCCUGAUUGACCGAUAGUGAACCAGUACCGUGAGGGAAAGGCGAAAAGAACCCCGGCGAGGGGAGUGAAAAAGAACCUGAAACCGUGUACGUACAAGCAGUAGGAGCCUCUUUAUGGGGUGACUGCGUACCUUUUGUAUAAUGGGUCAGCGACUUAUAUUCUGUAGCGAGGUUAACCGUAUAGGGGAGCCGUAGGGAAACCGAGUCUUAACUGGGCGAAUGAGUUGCAGGGUAUAGACCC